rnacentral:lncRNA from 1 species
AAUAUUACAUUUUCUUACUAUUAUUAGUUUAUUACUAUUGAAUAUGGACUUGAGUUUUGAUUUUUUUAUUCUAUUAAAUUUGAAUAAAAGCAUAGACUUAAAAAAAAUAUAUAGACUUGACAAAAGUAUGCCAACAGCUUAGUAUGUGCUCUUUAAAAAAAAUAAAAAAGCUUAGUGGGCUUUUUUUCUUAGGCAUGGCACGGCACGUGUGGGCACGGACGAAUGGGGAUGGCAUGUGUACCGGCCCAGGCCUAAGCAAAAACAUUUAGGCACGGCAUAGGCACAAGCACCGCAUGGGCCUUGCUUUGCUGGCCCGGCCCAUUGGCCAUCUCUAAGCCUGUAGAGCCACUGAUUUUAAACGGACCAUAACUUGGCCAUAUGAUGUCAGAUUUGGGCUCAUAAUAAACCGUUUCAAGUCUCUUGAUGUAAAGAAUGCA